AUUUAAAGAAAAAAAUGUAUAGCCAAAAUAGGGAAUAUUCCAAAUUCAACAGAAUAUAUUGAGUGCAUACUAGUUGAGACAUAAUGAAAUCAGAACAUGAGUGGCCGCCAUUGCAAAUGGACAGAAAAUAUGUUUAGGAAGCACAAUCAAUGAGUCUUUGAAUGUGGAAAAGAUGAAGGAGAUGGAGCUGUGUAGACCUCAGAUGACUUCUAAAUUUCUAGCUUGAACAACGAAUGAGGCAACUGGUAGAGCCAUUCAGCAGGCGUGGGGAAAAGGAUGGAGACUUGAUGAUUUCCAUUUUUGAUUAAUUGGGUCUAAAAGUGGAGUUCUAAUAAAUACAGUCUUGUGUUUUCCAGCCUAUUCAUUUGCUUUUAUUUAAAGGUGUCCUGUUGUAAAUAGAGCAAGAUUUAAAUAUUCUGAAGAAAUACUGGUUAUAGGGGCAGUUGAAAUUGUCAUAUGAUUGGUAAAUAUAAUUGCUAGAGUCAUCUGGUUCAGAAUUUGGGCCAAGUAUCCAAUUUUGUCAAGCAAAGAAGUUUUUAUGCACUCAACAAAUAGAUGUUUGAGAGACACCUGUGUAUUAGGCACUGCUCUAAGAGUUGGGAAUAUGAUAUGGGGAAAAACAGAAACAAUUCCUGUUCUCACUGUGUUUACAGUCUCCCAGGAAAAUACAAAUGAUGGGUACACAGCAAUGAAGAUAAAUUCAUCUCUGACAAUUACAAGUGCUAUGAAGAAAAUAGAACAUAGGAAAAGGGGACUAAGGUGAAAAAGAAUAUGACAUUAUUCCUCUCUGAAGGGGUGGCAUUUGAGCCGAGCUAGCUGUGUGGAGAAAUCGGAGAGCUUUUAGACAAGUUGAAAAGCUUCCAUUUUUUCUAUACAGGGGCAGCAACAGGUUGGAAGAAGUUUGAGGGACUUUUAAAAAAUGAUAUUGCAUGAAAAGCCCUUGCUGUUUAUUUACAGUACAUAUUUAUUUGAAAUGGAAGGAGCUGAUACAAAAAAACAGGUGACUGAGUGCGCCUUCUUCAUAUCUACCAGGCCGUUCUUUGAGCUUCCAGACAUACAAACAGAAAGCAAAAGCAAAGGCACAGCCCAACCGGUGUGGCUCAGUGGUUGAGCAUUGACCUAUGAACCAGGAGGUCAUGGUUCAAUUCCAGGACCAAUUACACUGAAGGAAUCUAGAAGGUGACCAGAAAAACUCCUGUGAAAAACAUUCACUCCAGGGAUCCUGGAAUCUACUAAUACCAAGAAGAUAAUCACACAGGACAAACGCCCUAUCAAUUCAUCAUGUGGCCACUUGAAAGCAAACUCCUCUGAAAAUGCAAGGCACUUUUGGCAUAUUUGCUAUGAUCCGUAUGAUUAAUGUUGUAUCAUACAUUCUCUAGCUUAUGUUUAUAAUACUCUUCAAACAGAUUGGGUGGUUUCAGUAUUCUCAACUAGGUGACCUUCCAGAAUCUGUUAGAAUCUCUAGCACUUCUAAACCCUUAGUUGUGUAACAAUACAAA